UGGGGAGGCUAUUUCUUGUUGAACACGAUCCAAGAGAAGGAGUUCUAAAGGCCUGCAAAUUUUGCAACACUUACAUCGCCUUGCACCAAAACAUAACCGAGGACACCUUCCCUUUCUGGCCAUCCUCUCAAGGCUCCAUCUUCUCUUCUACGGUCAAUUUGGUGGAAAAUGACGGUGGAGCCAAUCAAGAUCUUACUUCUCCUGCACUUUUUCUACAGCUUUACUGUGUCAAAUGUGGCGCUUUCAUUGGAUUCCGA